CAGCAGCCACGGUAAUACGAAGGGGGCUAGCGUUGUUCGGAAUUACUGGGCGUAAAGCGCACGUAGGCGGAUAUUUAAGUCAGGGGUGAAAUCCCAGAGCUCAACUCUGGAACUGCCUUUGAUACUGGGUAUCUUGAGUAUGGAAGAGGUGAGUGGAAUUCCGAGUGUAGAGGUGAAAUUCGUAGAUAUUCGGAGGAACACCAGUGGCGAAGGCGGCUCACUGGUCCAUUACUGACGCUGAGGUGCGAAAGCGUGGGGAGCAAACAGGAUUAGAGACCCCGGUAGUCCCUGUCUCUUAUAC
rnacentral:rRNA from 1 species